GACGAAGGAUGCAAGCGUUAUCCGGAUUCAUUGGGUUUAAAGGGAGCGUAGGCGGCCCUAUAAGUCAGUGGUGAAAUCUCCGAGCUUAACUUGGAAACUGCCAUUGAUACUAUCAGUCUUGAAUAUUGUGGAGGUCAGCGGAAUAUGUCAUGUAGCGGUGAAAUGCUUAGAUAUGACAUAGAACACCAAUUGCGAAGGCAGCUGGCUACACAUAUAUUGACACUGAGGCACGAAAGCGUGGGGAUCAAACAGG
rnacentral:rRNA from 1 species